AUUAUUUCACGCAAAGGAAAUAAUUGGAUUAAUUAAAGGAAACUUUAUUUAAUUCAUAUCGGGAGGAAAUGCACGAUAUA
rnacentral:sRNA from 10 species